rnacentral:tRNA from 1 species
GGGAUUAUGGCUCAGUGGUAGAGUGCUUGUCUUGCAUGCAAGAGGCACUGGGUUCGAUCUUUAACACCA